rnacentral:rRNA from 1 species
GAUGAACGCUGGCGGCGUGCCUAAUACAUGCAAGUCGAACGAAACUUCUUUAUCACCGAGUGCUUGCACUCACCGAUAAAGAGUUGAGUGGCGAACGGGUGAGUAACACGUGGGCAACCUGCCCAAAAGAGGGGGAUAACACUUGGAAACAGGUGCUAAUACCGCAUAACCAUAGUUACCGCAUGGUAACUAUGUAAAAGGUGGCUAUACUACCGCUUUUGGAUGGGCCCGCGGCGCAUUAGCUAGUUGGUAGGGUAAAGGCUUACCAAGGCAAUGAUGCGUAGCCGAAUUGAGAGGUUGAUCGGCCACAUUGGGACUGAGACACGGCCCAAACUCCUACGGGAGGCAGCAGUAGGGAAUCUUCCACAAUGGGCGAGAGCCUGAUGGAGCAACGCCGCGUGGGUGAAGAAGGUCUUCGGAUCGUAAAACCCUGUUGUUAGAGAAGAAAGUGCGUGAGAGUAACUGUUCACGUUUCGACGGUAUCUAACCAGAAAGCCACGGCUAACUACGUG